CAGGGGAGAGGCCAUCACUAGAAGAUGCUGGGUUUCCUGCUCCUUCUGCUGGGACGAGGCUCUGUGUUCAGUGCUGUCGUCUCUCAAAAGCCAAGCAGGGAUGUCUGUCAACGUGGAACCUCCGUGACAAUCCAGUGUCAAGUCGAUAGCCAAGUCAUCAUGAUGUUCUGGUACCGUCAGCAACCUGGACAGAGCAUGACACUGAUUGCCACUGCAAAUCAGGGCUCUGAGGCCACAUAUGAGAGUGGAUUUGUCAUUGACAAGUUUCCCAUCAGUCGCCCAAACCUAACAUUCUCAACUCUAACUGUGAGCAACACGAGCCCUGAAGACAGCAGCAUAUACCUCUGCAGCGUUGAAGACACAGUGCUGGGCACAGAUCAAAGAUCUGAGCAAGAACCUCAACUCUCUCGUACCCAGCUCCCCUUGCAUGAGCCUGAGGGCCCUGCCAAGGUGGGACAGGAGGAGGAAACCACAGCUCUUGGGCAGACACAGCUGUUUCUGUGCUUGUGGGUGGGCAUGGGUGUGAAUGGAUAGACUGGGGAUAAGAGAGCAUCUGUAGGACUAGCUGGAGUGUUCUAUCCACAGACAGGAAGGGUGGCUCCUGGAAAGCUGAGGGUAAAAUUUCUUCUAGAAGGGUGCUCAGAAAUACCCAAUAAAAACAAUCAGAUACAGUUUCCUUCAAGUGGAAGGGUCAGUAAUAGCCUUUAACUGUUUUAUCUCAAGGCUCUUUUUAGCUGGUUUUCUAUCAUAAUAUAUUUUGGCACAACUUUAGUCACCUUGAAACAAAGCUGGUACAUUACGUUAAUGACAUCUGGUUGUUCUCAGUCAAUAGGAAUUAUAAAGCUCUCUAGAUGCCUCAGUAUGACAAUAUGACACAUGUAUCCCAGGCCAACAUAAAAUCUGCGAAGUUCAGGAACCUUCUAUAAUGGUGAGUUUUGGAGUAGUCCAGAGGUUUGGGGCAUGUCAAAAUAUCUCCUCUAAUGUGAGAAGUAAGCUGCUGCACCUUAGAUCAUCUACCACAGAGAAAGAGGUGCAAUGCUAAGUCUUCGGACUUUGAAUUAAACUUUGGAUAUACUGCACUUGAUUGUGCUACUCUAUUCCAUUUACUAUGUAAUCUGUAAAGCUGGAGCCAUUGCAAGAGAGGGUUCUGUGGCAGAACAAGCCCAUAAUGAAAACUUCCUGCUGGUUGGGCCAUAGACUAAGCAGACCCAGUUGUUCUUGAAGAGCCUAUGAUAGAUACGGAUGCUCUAAGGAGAUCCUGACAUUCCCCAAUAAGAGAAUCACAAGGCAGUGUGGAACAGGUUCGCUGUGCCCUGAUUGGCACUUCAGACCAUUGCAUCUUGGGCUAUACUUUUGUUGCUUUCCAGAUCCCAGAGAGAAAGAAUGCUCACACACACAAAUUACAUGAAGAUUGUUUAUUACAUACAGGCAGCAAGGGAAAACAGAGGCCUAAGAUUCAGGGAAAGCCAGUUCCACUAGGCUCAAGAAAGCUGCCAAUGGUGGAUGAAACUUUGUCUGUGCCUUCCCUACUUGCUCUGCCACUGAGGGACCUCAGAGAGCAGCCACUCUGGGUGUUAUAUCCUAAGCAACUUGACAUGCUUGGCAAAACAUUGAAGGGCAUCCUACUUCUAGAAGGGACUGGAACAGAGCCCUGGCUGUUCUAGCCAGUUCCUCCUAAUCUCAGGAUGUUACAUUACCAGCACAUUGUACAGUCAUUCUUGAGAACUACAAGCAAGAAAUGGGGAGGUACUGAGUUGGUCCAAGGCCACCUGGAGAAUUGCCCUGAAGACAGGUGCAGAGUUUUGGUGUAAAGCUAUACUCUUACCGGCCAACGACCCCCUUUUCUUUUGAAACGUUGCUCCUGCCUCUGUAACGGAUACCUUAUAAUGGCAUUCAGAACAAGGUAUUAUCUGAUCUGCAAAACUGUAACGUUGGCUGUGCCCAGAGCAUUCUCUCUGUUAUUAAAUGGAAAAUAUAUAAUCGAGACCAUACUUAAAUACAGCUGGAAGAAGGUACAAUUCAAUUUCAAGAGCACAUCUCAGAGUGUCAUGGUACCCACUCAUGCUUUUCUCCUCUUACCUUCAAACCACACCCAAGUUUCAUAGAAAUUUCAUAUUUCCAGUUGAGAAACAUGAGGUCAUUUUUUUCAGAUGGGUCUCCACAUUAUUCUUGAAGGAUCAUUACAGCCUAACCAAGUAUGGUUCUGAAAGGUAGUGGUGAAGGGAAAUCCUCUUGGGGCCAAAACUUAAAUCGGUAUACCUGAUUGUUGUCCACAUUUUAUUGAAGAAGAUAUGGUCAGAAGUAUAGCUAUAUCUUAUAUUCAAUUUUCUUUCAUACUAUCAUCUAGUCUUCUUACCUAUUCAGUCAUAUUUUUCUUCUUUUUGCUUCUCUAUGCUACAAUCUGGGUAAUUUCUUUAAAACUACUGUUUAGUUUACUAAUUCACACCUCAGCUCCAGUAAUUUAAUGUUUCAACUGACUUUGUUCAUCUAAAUUAUAUUUUUUAUUUCUAGAAACUCCAUUUGGGUCAUUUACAAAUAUGAGUUGUCAUUUUUGAACGCAUCUUGUUCCUUGUGUAUUUUAAAAUUAUUUUCUUUUUAUAAGUAUAUUAAGCAUCUACUGGGAAUUCUUAUCUGACAAUGCCAGCAUUUGAUGCCUUUUUGCAUCUUGUUUUCAGUAGUCUGCUGACUCUCACUCAGGGUGGCCUAUUUCCUUGUGCACUAUGUAACUUGAUGUGAAUUUAUCUUUCAUAAUUCUUUAAAUACUGGAGUAAACGUGGGUUUUCUAGGAAAUAUUCAUGCUUGCCUCUGUCAAGAAAUUGGAGUGCUACAGACCCAAUAUCAUUUUAUUUUAUAAUUCUCAGUAUAUGUCUUCUUGGUCAUAGAAUGUCUAUCUCAAUCUCCAAUGGGCUGACUGUUCAGUGACCAUGAAUACUCAGAGGAAAUUUUUUAAAAUCCUUCACCCAAAGCCAAGACCAAGAUAAAUAAUAUUCUUUGUUAACUGCUUCUAGGAUUAGUUUUCUAGCUCAUCCUUUCACUAACUAUGUAUCUCUUUGUGUACCUCACUUUAUAAAGGAGUGAUUCCUAUCUAGUUUCUGGUCCAUGUAAGGUCCCAUGGGCCUUGUCCAGUUUCCACGUGUACUAAUUCUCCAGGUCACAGGAAUGCACAUGUAUACCCAUUUUAUCUCAUGAGUUCAAUGCUAGCUUACCUUUCCUGCCCCAUGCUCCCAUUACCAUAGGAAGUUGACAAAUUUACCUACAGUGAAGUCUUGGAUUAUGAAGCACCUUCCUAUAUUAUAAAAUUGCCUCUUUAAAAGCAGUAAAGCACUGUGGUUAGGAACUUGAACUUUGUCAAGUGACAGACCUAAGUUUAAAACUUGGUUCUUCUGCUUUAACACUAGGUGUAACCUUAACAAGUUACACAAUUUCUCCAUGCCUUAAUUUCUCCAUAGAAAAUAAGGAUAAUAGCGAGUUUUUAAAUGUAAAUUUUUAAUAAGAAAGUGAUGCAAUUAUCUGUAUAAAAAGCACACAGAGACAAAAUAUGCAAUUAGUGUAGUUGCUAUCUAAACGUAUUUCUCACUAUAAAAACAUAGUUUACCACUAGCAAUUCCUUCCUCAAGAAUAAGUAGGACCCUCUCUCAGAAAAUUUUAUUAUUACAAUUGUUUCUCUUUUAGAUAUUUUAACUAAAUAAAAAAAUUUGUGGUAUUAUAAAAUAUGCAUAUUAUCAAAAUAAAAAAGUCAAAAUCACUCAGUUUAAUAAAAUUAGAUCAUAAAAUAUGUAGUUUUAGAAGUUAGUCCCUUAACCCAACAAUAUUUCAUGAAUAUCAUUUCAUGUCAAAAAUAUUUUACAUUAACUUUAACAAGAAUAAUUCAAUAUACUGAUGAACGUCCUUCAUACAAUCAAAACCCACGACAAGGUAUAUAUCCAUAGGCUAGAUGACACGGUUACUUAAUUUUAAAUAGCAAUCAGUUGUGUGUGUUGAAUUAUUUCUGUUACAGACUCAGAAGGAAAUCAUGAAAGCCCUCCUAACUCUACCUGCAAAUGGCUGGUUCCUUUUUAUUCAGGUGUUAACUUAAAUGCCACCUCCCCAAAGAGACCCUUCCUGACCACUCUACAUAACAGCACUUCAGCAGUCAUCCCAUAUUAUAUUAUCACUUUAUCCUAUUUUAGUAAUAUGUACUCAUCAUGUACUGAAAGUAAUGUAUGUGCAUCCCAUUUCUAUACCUCCUCACAUGUGCAUGAAUGCAUGCACAUGUACACAUGAAUGCAAUGAAAACAAGAACCUUUUCUGUCUUCUUCAUUGCUGUUUCCAAAUAGCAUAGAAGAACUCUUGGAAUAUCACUUCAGGAAUUCAAUAAAUAUUUGUGAGUAAAUAAAUAUGAUUUCAAACAUAAGAGGAAAAUUUAUACAGCUGUAGUGGAUUUCCCUGAAGGAAAGCUCUACAAAGGCAUUUGAGUUUAGAUAAUCUAAACCCAUAAGAAAAUUAACUAGAUUAUUCUAACAGGAAAGGAAUAAGCACUUCAAACUUUAUAUUUUUUAUUCUUGUUUUAAAUUUAUGUUUUUGUUGGGAGGAGGAUACAAAAAGAUUAAAUGACACAAAAUUACAGCUAGAUAGGAGGAAUAAGUUCCAGUGUUUUACAGAACUGCAGGACUACAGAUAACAAGCUUUGUAUUUGAAUAGAAAAGGUACACAUGUCAUGUGCCAACCCCCUUCUGCUGCCUUACCCAAGACUGGGAAAUGGAACAGAAGACAUGGGUUCUACAGAGGGGCAAAGUGCAGAACCUGCUCAAACACAGUGGCCCUAGGGCGAAAGGUUCUCAAUUGGAAUUGUGUUGGUGCUUGUGUGGAUGAAGCACUCAGUUCUGAGCCUUGGGAGCCUUUUGAAGGCCCUCCUGGCCAAGACGAUCUUGAGGAAAUGGCUGACCCGUUGGCUGCCUUCCAAAUGGAUGACACAGUCUAGAAUUUUAUAAGCUAAAUGAGUAAAAGGAACCCAGUUGACUGGAUUUAUCACCAAACCUAUCUUGUGAGACUCAAUCUAGAGCUAGUACAAUUUAGAAAAAUACAUACAUAUAUCAUAUAUUAAACUCUGAGUAUCAUGAAACAGAUCCUAGAUGUUAUAAUAAUAAGAACCUACAUGGGUGUUUCUCCCACACUCUGUCCUGGCUUUCUUCUGCUUCCUAUCUAAGGCAGCCUAGACUCACUUAAGCAGCUCUAAUAGGCCAAACAAGAGAGUGGUCAAGGAGUGGCUGAAAUGUGAACAUAAAGACUCAUCAUUAUAUUACAGCAAUCAAUCUAUCCUUAAAAUAAUUUAGGUUUAGUCUCAAGUGCUAGAGGCUUCCCCAUUUACUCAUACAUGGAAGCCUGAAGAAUAAACAGAACUAUAAACUUCCCUCUGGGCAUAAAACCUGCAUGUUUUCCAUGGCCAUCGACUCCAUCUUACAAGUCAGACUUUUUUGGAUCACACAGAGGACUCCCUUCACUCUCCAGAUUCAGUGAUUCCUGGGUUGAGAUAGUAAUGAAAACAAUUCCUUAUUGGAUAAAGAGAAAUUGUGCCAUGGGGUAGACCGGUAGCUUAGGAAAAAAAAAAAAUGGAUGAGGAGAGGAGCUGGGAAUUUGUGGGGAAGACAGCCUAAAAUCUGACAAUCUGGUUGGAGAAUGAUAAAGGAUACUGGAACCCAAGGAGGAGUUGAGUAAGAGCUUAGGAUAAAGAUGUGGUGGGAUUUGGAGAAGAAAGUGUUAAAAAAAAAAA